GGCUUAACUCCUGGGUUCCUGAGCAAGGUUCUGGGCUUCGAGGGGUUUGCUUUUGGCUUUUUGCCUUCAGCGCGUCCUCCGUCACCGCUGUCGGCGUGCGCUGAGCUGCUGCUUAGGGAACUGUGGUGAUACAGACUGUGUGCGUGCCAACCGUCCUCCAGGCUAUAGCUGUAUUCUACCCUAAAAAAAGCUUUCCGUAAUACUAUGCUUCCGUUAGGACGCAAUUUUCUCGAGUUCCCCCCACCUCAGGGUGAUUUUCCCACACCCCUAACCCCAACCCCUAAGCCCACCUGCAACACCCCAUUUUCUCCUAGGCUUUUAGGAGUGGCCUGAGAGGUGCUUGCAGGGUAUUCCAUUUUGCCUUAGACAGCUUAGGAGACCAACCACAUGCCUGGAGAUCUGUAUCUAUCGUUAGGCUCCUAGUGGGAUUCACACAAAACCAGUAUGUGUGGGCACAUUCUCCUAGCAGCUCGGUGUCUUUUUGCUGUUGCAGAGGUGAUUUCCAGGCGGAGCUGACCAGUGGGGUUCUCUGGCUGAGGGGAAGACCAGCCGUCAGCUGGUGGAUGUGCUUCUGGAAGAAAUAGCAACGGGAGCUCUAAGAGAGGGAAAUGGCUUCCCUGCAUGGGUUCGUCUGGAAUUGUACAUUGACAAAUCAAGGGGAGCGGAACCGAAGGUCAGUCGAGAUGUUACUUUUCCCCGUGUGCCUUGUGCUUGUGAGUCGGACUGCUGACUACGGAGGGAUAACCUUUGUACUUGCCGAGGGCCCGCGAGGCUCCGUGUGCCCGCUGCUUCCGAGUGCUGCGCUGCGGCUCGGGCAACGGCCGGGGAGGAAUUGUCGGUCCCUCGUGGUUACGCAGCCGGGCCUGCUAGGCGCUUGAAGCAGCGCGUCCGGUCGGGCAGUAUUAUUUUUCUAGAUUGUAAAUGAGCCCGAGGUAUAAACCCACUUACGUUUCUGUAUGGCGGUGUACUUUGUGAGAGAGCUCAGAUGUACUGAUGGAGCUGGCACAGAGUUCCCUUGGGACUCCAGAUUUGACUGUCUUGUUGAAAGGCUCCAGAGCCUGCUUUGAAAGUCGCUUGACAAAGCACAGCUUUGCCGUGAUUUUUAUACCGGAAUUCCGACUGUAAUGCCAAUGCCACGUGUUAGCCUUUCUCCAGCAGCUAUUAAAAGCAGAAUGAGCGUUAAGAAUCUGAUUACCUUUGAACUAAAUUCAAAACAAAGCUGCGGGGUGAAGCGACUGGAAGCGUCCUGCCAGUCUGACGUGGGUAUCGCUGCCGUGCGUGUUUUCUGCCUGUCUACUGAUCGCUCCUGCCUCUUGUUCUGCUGUGGUAAUUCCUUUGGGUAAGGCGUUGGGCUCUGACUAAAGUGCAUCCUGACUUCCUCCUGACCCCUGCGAGAUGUUAUCGGUGUUUGCCUUCCUCCCCUUUCACAGGGCCUCGGCUGUUGCGUGCAGAGAAGCUGUCAGCCUUGUGAGAGAGCAUGCAGCCGGCAAGCGCAUCGUGGUGCUUCGGUACCGAGCUGAUACCGCAGGCGUCCGUCUUUUGUUUGCGAAAAGGGAUCGCGAGGAAAGGUGCUGACGUUGGAGGGGGAAAGGUGGCGGGAGAACAGAGGUGAUUUCCAGGCGGAGCUGACCAGUGGGGUUCUCUGGCUGAGGGGAAGACCAGCCGUCAGCUGGUGGAUGUGCUUCUGGAAGAAAUAGCAACGGGAGCUCUAAGAGAGGGAAAUGGCUUCCCUGCAUGGGAGGAGGCGGGCAGCGCUGAAGCUUUCGUGGCCAAGCCCCGGAGCCAGGAUGUCAGGGAGAAGCAGGAGUAUCUGAGCCAGCUGAAGAACAAGCUGGGAGAUCUACUAGAGGGGAAGGCAGAUGAUCUGAAGACUGCUUUCUGUGCGAUUGAUCCCGGUAUCGACGAUCAGACGCUAGAUACCUACGUUGACCUGCCGGAUCAAGAAGAUGUGCCUGUGGAAACUGCACUCGAGAGGCUGCUUGCUGGAUAUGCGAGACGAGUAGGGCCCUCGCCCAGGGAGGGAAGCACGACAGGCUUCGGAGGGGAGGAAGGAGACUUCCAAUAAUAAGAAUAAAUGGACUGUUUGAUCUACGGGUUUGGGUGCCAAGCCGAGAGUUGGAGUUACUGCGUUAAAUACUUCUUCCCAUUGCAUAUGGAGGUACAGCUCGUAAGAGCUGAGUGGGUGGGCUAGCUUGAGCUAUCGGAAGCGCUUUCAUCUUAAGCAGCACAGCACUCCGAGACAAUUUUACAGCCUCUGCAGAGUCAUUUUAGCUCAGCAAGACCUGUGGUGGGAGGCUGCCUGAUCCCCAGACAGAGGCUUCACACCCCCGGGGCGCCGAGGCACUUCAGGGUGUCAGGCGCUCUGCUUGGUGACACAAGAGCUGUGCUCCACAGCCAUUGCUGGAACCUGAGAAGCCACCGUCAGGCUCCAGGCUGCAGCGUGGCUGCUUUGGCCCUUGGCCCUUACAGUCCCUUGUCUCAAAGAAAGAGGGUUUCAAAGAUUCCUUUGCAAAAUAAGGUGCCGGUUGCAAGCAAAAGGUGAGGUCAGCCCACACGAAGUCUGCUAUCGUGUCUGUCCCCGAGGAGACUUUUGUCUUGGUGUGGCUGCUGUUGUCCAGUAUGAAAUCACUCAACAGACGUUCAAGUGCUGCCCCACGAGUAGAUUUAACCAAACUCUGAGCUGCAAAAGUCAUCCAAGCAUAGAAAAACUGAAAUCAGUCCCUUGCUGCGAGGAAGGCACCACGUGCCCUUUGGUAACUUUACUCAGUCGUCCCUACUCAUAGUGUCCGCUUUGCCCUGCACAUAGCCCUCUCUAGGGAGGGGAGGGA